UUCCUGUACAGGAGAUGGCACCAGGCGCAUGCCAUAGGUCUCAAACUGCUGCUAGAACAUGGAGCUGAACUCACUAUACAAUUCAGCUCUAAGCUAUGAUCUAACCUUGUUUGUGUCCGUAAGGUCGGCUCAAACCUUUUUUGCGAUCUCUUGUGUCAUCCUUUCUCUUUGUUCUUCGCUGUAUGCAUAUGAAGGCUGACGAGAAGAGCUCCCAAAAUAAUCUCGAAUUCCUACUCCAGGACCAGCAGCACGUACACGUCUAGGGUGCUUA
rnacentral:lncRNA from 1 species